GAAUUUUGGACAAUGGGCGAAAGCCUGAUCCAGCAAUGCCGCGUGCAGGAUGAAGGCCUUCGGGUUGUAAAGCACUUUAAGCAGUGAAGAAGACUCCAUGGUUAAUAUCCGUGGACGAUGACAUUAGCUGCAGAAUAAGCACCGGCUAACUCUGUGCCAGCAGCCGCGGUAAUACAGAGGGUGCAAGCGUUAAUCGGAAUUACUGGGCGUAAAGCGAGCGUAGGUGGCUUGAUAAGUCAGAUGUGAAAUCCCCGGGCUUAACCUGGGAACUGCAUCUGAUACUGUUAGGCUAGAAUAGGUGAGAGGAAGGUAGAAUUCCAGGUGUAGCGGUGAAAUGCGUAGAGAUCUGGAGGAAUACCGAUGGCGAAGGCAGCCUUCUGGCAUCAUAUUGACACUGAGGUUCGAAAGCGUGGGUAGCAAACAGG
rnacentral:rRNA from 1 species